UGCUCCAUGAAAUUUAAAUAGCCGCAAUUCGUGCUAAGGUAGCAUAAUCAUUUGUYUUUUAAAUGAAGACUAGAACAAAAGAUUUAAUAUUUAAGUAUAUUUAUUUAAUUUUUUUAUUUAAAUUAUCUUAGAUAUAAAAAGAUAUUUAUUUUUAAAAAAGACGACAAGACCCUAUUGAACUUAACUUAAGUUAAACUGGGGCAGUAAAUUAAUUAAUAUUUUAAAAUAAGUUUUAUUAGAAUUAUCCAAACUAAUUGAAUUAUUCAGUUACCAUAGGGAUAACAGCGCAAUUUUAUUUUAAAGCUCUCAUUAAAAAAAAAGAUUACGACCUCGAUGUUGAAUUAAUAACCUAUUUUUAAAGCAAAUUUUAAAAAAGGAAGUCUGUUCGACUUUUAAAAAAUUACAUGAUUUGAGUUCAGACCGGUAUAAGCCAGGUCGGUUUCUAUCUUUUAAAAAUAAUUUUACAGUACGAAAGGACCUAAAAAUUUAAUUAAAUUAAAUUAAUUGGCAGAUUAAUGCAUUAGAAUUAGAAUCUAAUAAAACU
rnacentral:rRNA from 1 species